AGCGAGUCACAAUAUACUGGUUUCACCGAUGUUUGAGAAUAAAGCGAAAAAUGCCUUCUUUGGUAUAAUGAGUGAGUUAUUUAAUGAGUUCAUGUGAACCAAUCUUGUGGCUCCACAACCUCCACCCCCUAUUGUGCCUCUUGCGGCACCCCAUAGUCCUCAAAGUUCAAACCUAGUAAACACUCACAUGCAUCCAAUAGAUAAAAUUAAAAAGUGUAGGGCUAAAUAUUUUCGUGUAAAGACAAAAGAUGAUCCGACCAGGGUCGAAUACUG
rnacentral:lncRNA from 1 species